rnacentral:rRNA from 1 species
CUUUAAGUCCAUUGGAAAAUGGCGCCAUGGAGGGUGAUAGCCCCGUAAAAGUACCCCUUUUCCUUUUAUCCAUUCCCUCCAAAGAGUCGAGUUGUUUGGGAAUGCAGCUCUAAGUGGGUGGUAAAUUCCAUCUAAAGCUAAAUAUUGGCGAGAGACCGAUAGCGAACAAGUACAGUGAUGGAAAGAUGAAAAGCACUUUGAAAAGAGAGUGAAAAAGUACGUGAAAUUGUUGAAAGGGAAGGGCUUGCAAGCA